GGUUUUAUGGUGUAACGGCUAGCACGUCGGAUUCUGAGCUCGCUGGUGACUCAAAGACAGCGAUACUACCUUCCGGAGACCGCGGUUCGACCCCGCGUAAGGUGA
rnacentral:tRNA from 1 species